rnacentral:lncRNA from 1 species
UUUUUUCAGGCAUGGUCGGUGAGCUUGAGCUCUAAUUGGUUAUUCUGCAAACAAGUUCGGUGAAGUCGUGACCGCCAACGGGCAUAAUAUAAAAAGGCCUAGGGUCUUCUCAAAUUCAAAAAUCAAACAAUUUGAUAUCUAAAAGUCGAUUCCCUUUCUUUCUCUUCCAUUUCUUCUUUAGAGUCAAUGUGAUACUUUAGUGUGUGAUUCCAAAGUUCGAGGAGUGUGUUUGCUUGCAUUUUCUAUGAACCAAAC